rnacentral:lncRNA from 1 species
CCGAGAAGAGUCUCUAUAGUAUGAAGGUUUUUUUUUUUUCAAUAGUUGAAAAUAGAAGCUCAUUUUCUGUUGAGACUGCCUGAAUUAGUCAUGAUAAAAGACUGAACUUGCCAGGAGUUACCAGGUAAAACGAAAUAAUGAAGUCAACAGAAAGAAAUGAAUGAAACUUAAAGAGCAGCGUGGGAGCCCAUGGAUUUAACUGGGCCCUUAUGAGAUGUUUAAUAAACUAGUGUGAAUUGAAUCAAAGAGAAAAGAAAAAUGAAGUUAACACUUGCUGGAUGGAGUUGACCUUAAGUCCUGAGGAAAAUAAUAAAAAAUAACCUGUUAUCCUUUCCGUCUCCUGGCUGGCUUUUGUUUCUUCCAGCAGACAGGAAAAAGGAGUGUCACACUGGAUUGGGAAAGGCAUAGGCAAAGAACGUGAAGAGAAAGGAACAAGCAUAAGAUGAACACAAAUAAAUUGAAAGGUCAGUUUGUGUACCUUAUAGAGAUUUGAG